rnacentral:rRNA from 1 species
UAAGGAAUACUGGUCAAUGGACGCAAGUCUGAACCAGCCAUGCCGCGUGAAGGAUGAAGGUCCUCUGGAUUGUAAACUUCCUUUAUCUGGGACGAAAACGGGAUUUUUAUCUCAAUUGACGGUACCAGAGGAAUAAGCACCGGCUAACUCCGUGCCAGCAGCCGCGGUAAUACGGAGGGUGCGAGCGUUAUCCGGAUUUACUGGGUUUAAAGGGUGCGUAGGUGGGCUUAUAAGUCAGUGGUGAAAUCUCCGAGCUUAACUUGGAAACUGCCGUUGAUACUAUAGGUCUUGAAUUAUCUGGAGGUAAGCGGAAUAUGUCAUGUAGCGGUGAAAUGCUUAGAUAUGACAUAGAACACCAAUUGCGAAGGCAGCUUACUACAUAUAAAUUGACGCUGAGGCACGAAAGCGUGGGGAUCAAACA